rnacentral:rRNA from 1 species
GACGAACGCUGGCGGCGUGCUUAACACAUGCAAGUCGAACGGAAAGGCCCUGCUUUUGUGGGGUGCUCGAGUGGCGAACGGGUGAGUAACACGUGAGUAACCUGCCCUUGACUUUGGGAUAACUUCAGGAAACUGGGGCUAAUACCGGAUAGGAGCUCCUGCUGCAUGGUGGGGGUUGGAAAGUUUCGGCGGUUGGGGAUGGACUCGCGGCUUAUCAGCUUGUUGGUGGGGUAGUGGCUUACCAAGGCUUUGACGGGUAGCCGGCCUGAGAGGGUGACCGGCCACAUUGGGACUGAGAUACGGCCCAGACUCCUACGGGAGGCAGCAGUGGGGGAUAUUGCACAAUGGGCAGAAGCCUGAUGCAGCAACGCCGCGUGCGGGAUGAUGGCCUUCGGGUUGUAAACCGCUUUCGCCUGUGACGAAGCGUGAGUGACGGUAAUGGGUAAAGAAGCACCGGCUAACUACGUG